rnacentral:rRNA from 1 species
UACGAAGGGGGCUAGCGUUGCUCGGAAUCACUGGGCGUAAAGCGCACGUAGGCGGCUUUCUAAGUCAGGGGUGAAAUCCUGGAGCUCAACUCCAGAACUGCCUUUGAUACUGGAGAGCUUGAGUCCGGAAGAGGUGAGUGGAACUCCGGAGUGUAGAGGUGAAAUUCGUAGAUAUUCGGAAGAACACCAGUGGCGAAGGCGGCUCACUGGUCCGGUACUGACGCUGAGGUGCGAAAGCGUGGGGAGCAAACAGG